GUGGCGCAUGGGGACGAGUAGCAGCAAUGGCGCUGCUUGCCUUCGACUUUCCUCGCGUCAUCUCGUGCUUCCCAAUCCCUAUAGAUAGAACUGGAUUGAUCCCCAUGGACCCAUGGUUCUCUCAGACGCCACUGCGCCUGUUCGACGACGCGAAGCCAGAAGGCCUCGUGGUCGGGGAGGCUGACGCAGAGAGGGACGAUGGGAACGGGGGUACCCGCCUACAACGGCGCUCGGGGCAUAAUAGUUGGUCAGGCGUGAUCAUAGGGGCGCACUAGAGGCGCGUGCAUCGGUCCGUGGGGCCGAAGACGGUCGGUGCGGCGGCGAUUGCUCGCCGGGAUCCGCAAGAACCGCCGUCCGAUCAUCCUGCGUUGUCAGCACUCUUCCCAUCAGCGCCUUCGGUAAAUUUUCCCUUCACUUGUUGUGUUUCCAUCUUUGCUGCGAGUAGGAGCUUUCGGAAUUGGGAGACUUGUAGGUUGUGCGCGAAUUGACUACAUCACCGGUGUAGCGCCGCCGUGCGGGUGAACAGGGGUGCUGCCGCGCCAGCGUUAGGAUUGGUGGAGAGGGAAGAAGGGCCGCUGGCCGUUAGAUUGGAGAUUGACAGCUAGGUUCGAUCUGGAGAAAAUAGCUAUGGGUCGUUGAUCCUGGUGCCUACGGUGGAGAUUAGAUCUAAGACCGUGAUGAAUCCGAGCCAUCGAGAUGAGAUCGGAGGAGUGAUAAUAGAUCGGGCUAUAAUAAAAUCUAGACCGUUGCUUUCAGAUCCAGUGGAAUAGAUUGUGUACCGUUUCGGUUUGAGAUGAGUCUAAUCCGGGACGUCUGAUAUAGAUCGGACGGUUGAUGCCACCCGAUACCCCUUCGGCGUGGCAAUUUUGCUUAUGAUCCCUUUGGUUUUUACAGAAUAAACCCUUCGUCCUAGCGCUGGUAGUCUGAGUCUUAGGAUAAUUUGCGUGGAGACCCCUGCCCUUCCCAGAAAUUGGCGCACAGUCCAGGGAAAUAGAAGAUCAGAGAAUUUGAUUUAUAAAAUGAAUUUAUUAUUUAAAAACAAUUCAGAAUCUUGUUGAAUCCAUAGAAAAUUCAUAUUAAGUUCAAAUGAGUCCAUUCCAAUUUCUAUAAUUCUAUAAUAUUAUUCUUUAUCACAUAGUACCUCUAUUUUGACAUGAAAGUCAUAUCAAAAUUUAUAUCUUAUUUAAUCUUGUACAAAACACAUAAAAUCAUUAGAAAAUUCAUAACUUAAAAUCUAUGACUCUGAUUUGAUUCAUUCAAGUUGCGUUAGUCUCGAACAAAUAUUUAUUAUACAAUAACAAUAGUUAUUAUACCAUGUCUUGUUCUUUUAUAAUUAGACUUAUAUUUAACUUAUGUUGAUUAGUCUGGUUAAAUUGCUUAUCAUUACAAUCUACUAGAAUAUGACCUAUGGUCAACUUAUGACUUAGAUUAAAGUUGAGAAAAUUAUUUAUAUAAUAAUCUCUCAUAUGAUUUAUAUUAACCAAUUUAUAAUAUAGUUUAAUAUUUUAAUCACACGGAUCUUCUAUAAAAUCAUUACUCCUUAACCGUAACUCUGAUUUUAGUGGUUCUUGUUCUCACGAUCUCGUUACGGCGCGUAGAUCAUUAUUAUUCAGUUUGUUCUUAUGUUUGGUGUGAUGUUGAUUUUAUCUAAACCAUGUUUGUUUGUAUUGCUACGACUAGCGGGAGGUCACGAGGAUCUGAAGAAUCACCCUGGUACCUGGAAUUUCAAGUGCCAGGCAAGUUGUGCCCUUGAUCCACUUUUGUUACCCAAUAAUAUUCUUUAUUAUCAUUAUUCAAUGCAUAGGUUUAAUUUUGAUGGGACCUAAUAGGUCACCCUAGUCUAUUUAUCCAUUUUACCUUGUUUACCCCUGAAUCAUUUGGGUAGUUUUUGCUAUUGCUUUAUAUGGUUUUGGCAUAAUAUUUCAUUAUAUCCAUGUUCCAAUUAUUUUGUUAUUUUAUUUAUGUUCAUGUCAAGAUCAUUAAUGUUAAUUGGAACAUGGAGCUUAACUUGAGAAACACGUGCCACCACAAGGGUGGAAUGGGAUGCCCUUGGCCAACUAAUUAGGAAAGCUAGUGGAAGACUACCUUACCCGAAAGGGGCAAGGGCAGUAGGGGAUUGCAUGCAAGGAGGUUCUCGUGUUGAUUUUGCUGCAAUGGCGGUUAGACGGGGGAUUCUUGCAAGUGCUCUUCCCAUAAACUGUAGUGGGUUUUCUGAAGCUAGUGGAACUUUGUAAAGGCCUCGUAGUGGAUCCCUAGCCAUUCACCUCGGUAGUGUCUAAGUGCCUUGCAAACCCUGGCGACAUGAGAUACACGACUUGUGGGUACAGGGUACAACCUCUGUAGAGUGUAAAACUGGUAUACUAGCCGAGCUCACGGUCACGAGCAACUCUGGACUCUCGCAUGAUUAAAUUAUGAAACUUAAACUCAAUUUGUCAUAUGCAUUGCAUGGGAUUUAUUAUUAAUUUUGUUCUAUUAUUAUUUAUUAUGGUUUGGUAUUUACUUGUAUUUAGUAAUUCCUAAUAAAACUUUGACCAACUUUAAAAGCAAUGCUCAGCUUUAAACCCCUAUUGUUGAUCAGCUCUACACUUCACAUGAACUCCCACCUUUGUGAGUUCAUGCCACAUUAUUCCCCACAACCUAUUGAGCGAUGAACAUGUGUGAGCUCACCCUUGCUGUCUCACACCCCCCAUAGGAGAAGUACAGGUGGUUCAAGUGGAGCUACGUAACGAGGAGUUCGAUUCGAUCUAGGUGGCGUCUCCCAGUUGACUUGCGCCAAGGACGAUCCUUAGUUCGUUUUAUAUUUAUAAUUUAUUUUGUAAGUCUCCCGCUAUGUAAUAAGUACUCUGAUUAUAUUGUGACAUUUAUCUCUAUACACUCUGUUAUUAUA
rnacentral:lncRNA from 7 species